GGGGCUAUAGUUAACAAUAACAUUUGAGUUGCAUUCAAAAGGCACUACUUGAGUAGUUAGCCUCA
rnacentral:tRNA from 1 species